AACGUCUAUACAGCACUGAAUACAGCGGUUUUUGUCUGAUCACCACAGUUAAGCAGUGUCGGGCGAGGUCAGUACUUGGUUUGGUGACCGCCUGGGAAUAUCGC